rnacentral:rRNA from 1 species
CAAUAGCGUAUACUAAUGUUGUUGCAGUUAAAAAGCUCGUAGUUGAACUUCUGGUAGGAGUGUCCCGGCCUUUUUGUUUUUACAAAUUGUAUGCUGUGUGACAUCUCUGGCCAUCCUUCUUCUUUGUUUAAAGAAGAUCUUUCACUGUAAAAAAAUUAGGGUGUUCAAAGCAAAAGUUUCUUUGGAAUAUAUUAGUAUGGGAUGAUAAGAUAGGCUCUAGAUGCUAUUUUGUUGGUCUGCACAUUUAGAGAAUGAUUAACAGGGACAGUUGGGGGUAUUCGUAUUUACAUGUCAGAGGUGAAAUUCUUGGAUUUUGGAAAGACGAACUACUGCGAAAGCAUUUACCAAGGAUGUUUUCAUUAA